rnacentral:rRNA from 1 species
AACGAACGCUGGCGGCGUGCCUAACACAUGCAAGUCGCGCGAGAAAAGGGGGGCAACUCCCUGAGUAAAGCGGCGCACGGGUGAGUAACGCGUAGGUGACCUACCCUUGAGUCCAGGAUAACCUACCGAAAGGUGGGCUAAUACCGGAUAUGACCACGGGGACUUCGGUCCCUGAGGUGAAAGGUGGCCUCUGUUUACAUGCUACCGCUCAUCGAUGGGCCUGCGCGCCAUUAGCUAGGGUGGGGUAAUGCCCACCAAGGCGAUGAUGGCUAGCUGGUCUGAGAGGAUGGCCAGCCACACUGGGACUGAGACACGGCCCAGACUCCUACGGGAGGCAGCAGUGGGGGAUAUUGCGCAA